UCUCUCUCUCUCUCUCUCUCCAAUCGAUGCUUCGAUGUUCAUCUGUAGAAAAAGGGAUCGAAGAAUCAAAUCCAUUGAAAGUACAAUUUUAUGUUUAUCAACUUCAUUCGAUCAAGUAUCUGCUAAAUCAAGCGAUGUAUGUCAAAGAUCAUUGUCUCCAUGAGUAGAUCGGCCAUCUAAGUUUUGAAUUGGGAGAAAUCAAAUCUUUUUGUCAAGAUCGAGACUGAUAGAAAACAAUCAUGUAUUUUCAGACAUCUUCUCGUGCUAAAAAGAGUCCUACAGGAUAAAAUAUAGACCCUUGGAGCGGAUAGACAGAGCCCGGAUUCAGAUUUAUAAACUGGCAUAAAUCUGAUGAUAGCAUCAUAUAUGUAAAGGCAUGAAGUAUUAGAUUGCAGUCAUCAUAAGUGAUAUAAAGAGACGCUCAAACUGAGUACCGAA